ACCUGUUAGAAACAGUUGAACUCAGGCAAGAGAUGCGUGGACUAGAUCUAUACACGUCACUUUGGGCAUGCUUUCAGAUACAAAAUGUACUAUAGCACCUAUUAUUGAGGAUGAUAAAGACAAUGGUGAAAAAAGGAUUUUUAAUGGCACUUGUUAUCUGCUGGAUUAAAUGUGAAAACAAAAGAUACAAAUCUUUCAGAACACUGAUGUUGUUUCUUUUAAAAAUCAGUUUCAAAUAAAAAAAAUGAUUUUUUUUUCA